UUAGGAUUGAAAAUCCUUUUGAAAGAAAUGUAAAUUUGUCUCUUGUAUUUCUAUUUGUACACUCUUGUACAACCAGACAGACCUCUCUUAAAUUAAUAAUUCUUUCCUUAAAUAUGUCACAUGUAUGGAAUAAAAACCCUUUCAGAAAAUAUUGGACUUCUUUAUCUAGUAUAUACUGGACAGAUAUGAACAACAAUGGAAACAACUCUUAUUUAAACAUAAGCGUUAUAUCACUGUUUUAAUAUUUUAUCUAGUAAUACAAGCACUUUUUAUUAGGAUACGGUAAAACUUCGGAAAUACAGGGUCAUGAUAUGUACCUCAUGUACACUCUUACUUCAGCAAAAGCGACCGGGUCAAGAUUUCCCAUACAAUUUGACAUGCCUGAUGAAGUUCUGGAAAGAAUCAUCUGGAGAAAGAAGUUACCAAAUGGAAAUGAUGGUUUUUUAAAAAUAUUUUUUAAUUUGUUUUUCUAUAUAAAUGUCCAUCAAACAACCCA